UACGUAGGGUGCAAGCGUUGUCCGGAAUUAUUGGGCGUAAAGGGCGCGUAGGCGGCCAUGCGUGUCUUCCGUGAAAUCCCUCGGCUUAACUGAGGACGUGCGGAAGAAACUGCAAGGCUCGAGUCCGGGAGAGGGGGGUGGAAUUCCCAGUGUAGCGGUGAAAUGCGUAGAUAUCUGGAGGAACACCGGUGGCGAAGGCGGUUCUCUGGGCCGGAACUGACGCUGAGGAGCGAAAGCGUGGGGAGCAAACAGG
rnacentral:rRNA from 1 species